CUUCCGCCCGAAAGCGCCGGUGCACCCCGCAGGCCCUGCCCGUGGGUCCACAGGCCGGAUCCCCGGGUUCCUAGGCUGGGACUGCUUCUCAGAACCACUCUGUCGUUUUUAAGCAGGGUCACACACUCUAGCUCACUGGGUCCAUUUUAAUUUCUAUUAAACAUUUUUUUUUUUUUGCAAAUGAUGUAGUAGGAGAUCCAAGGUGUUUGGUUAAUGAUUUAUUCACUCAUUAGUCAUUCCACAAACUUGUCUUGAGCACCUGUUAUGUACCCAGCACUGUGCUGGAAUGCUGAGGAGACAGGAGUGAAGUAAAAAGACAUGGUUCCGGCAGGAAACAGGCAAGGAGAGCCUUGACUUGGUAGGGCUAACACAGUGCUACACAGGAGGGACGCCCGCUCGGUGUCGGGGGUCAGCAAAGCUUCCUUAAGGACCACUAGGUUGAGACAAGAAGGAUGAGUAUGGGAUUAGCCAGGAAAGGGAAAAGGGCAGUGGGAACUGGAAGAGAAGAGCCUUCUAGGACUGGGAAAGAGCAAGUGCCGGGUCAGGAGAGAGGACAUAGCAGUGAGGAGGCAGUAGACGGAGUCUGGCUAUAUCGCCAGGCUGGAAUGCAAUGGCGCGAUCUCUCCUCACUGCAACCUCCGCCUCCCGGGUUCAAGCGAUUCUCCUGCCUCAGCACCUCGAGUAGCUGGGACUACAGGCGCGCGCCACCACGCCCAGGUAAUUUUUUGUAUUUUUAGGAGAGAUGGGGUUUCACC
rnacentral:lncRNA from 10 species